rnacentral:rRNA from 1 species
GACGAACGCUGGCGGCGUGCUUAACACAUGCCAGUCGAACGGAAAGGCCCUGCUUUUGUGGGGUGCUCGAGUGGCGAACGGGUGAGUAACACGUGAGUAACCUGCCCUUGACUUUGGGAUAACUUCAGGAGACUGGGGCUAAUACCGGAUAGGAGCUCCUGCUGCAUGGUGGGGGUUGGAAAGUUUCGGCGGUUGUGGAUGGACUCGCGGGUUAUCAGCUUGUUGGUGGGGUAGUGGCUUACCAAGGCUUUGACGGGUAGCCGGCCUGAGAGGGUGAACGGCCACAUUGGGACUGAGAGACGGCCCAGACUCCUACGGGAGGCAGCAGUGGGGAAUAUGGCACAAUGGGCGGAAGCCUGAUGCAGCAAUGCCGCGUGCGGGAUGACGGCCUUCGGGUUGUAAACCGCUUUCGCCUGUGACGAAGCGUGAGUGACGGUAAUGGGUAAAGAAGCACCGGCUAACUACGUG